rnacentral:rRNA from 1 species
CAGCAGCCGCGGUAAUACGGAGGAUCCAAGCGUUAUCCGGAUUUAUUGGGUUUAAAGGGUGCGUAGGUGGCCUGUUAAGUCAGGGGUGAAAGACGGUAGCUUAACUAUCGCAGUGCCCUUGAUACUGAUGGGCUUGAAUGAACUAGAGGUAGGCGGAAUGUGACAAGUAGCGGUGAAAUGCAUAGAUAUGUCACAGAACACCGAUUGCGAAGGCAGCUUACUAUGGUUUUAUUGACACUGAGGCACGAAAGCGUGGGGAUCAAACAGGAUUAGAUACCCCCGUAGUCCCUGUCUCUUAUAC